rnacentral:rRNA from 1 species
GACGAACGCUGGCGGCGUGCUUAACACAUGCAAGUCGAGCGGUAAGGCCCUUUCGGGGGUACACGAGCGGCGAACGGGUGAGUAACACGUGGUGACCUGCCCUCAGCGUCUGGGAUAAGCCUGGGAAACCGGGUCUAAUACCGGAUAUGACUCCAUGACGCAUGUUGUGGGGUGGAAAGCCUUGUGCGGCUGAGGAUGGGCCCGCGGCCUAUCAGCUUGUU